AGGGCAACUCUAACUUGAAAAAAUACCAAAGUCCCCAAAACUAAUAAGUGAUUUCUGCCCAGUGCUCUGAAUGUCAUAGUGAAGAAAUUCAAUGAAGUGAGGGUAACACAGGGAGUAACUAUGACUCUCAAGGUAGCCAAAUGCCUCAUCAUCUAAAUAAUGAUGCUUAUGAAUGGAUGAACAAGAUUCCC
rnacentral:ncRNA from 1 species